GACGAACGCUGGCGGCGUGCUUAACACAUGCAAGUCGAACGGUGAACGAGGGUGCUUGCUCCCCCCGGGUCAGUGGCGAGUGGGUGAGUAAUACGUGAGCAAUCUGCGCCGUAGGCUUGGAUAAGCGUUGCAAGCGAUGAUAAAUACUAGAUACUACUCGGGAGUGGAUCGUCUUGGCGUGUUUCGAGCGUCGGUGCGGGAUGAGCUGCUGGUCUACCUGCUUGUUGGUGAGGUACUGGCUCACCAAGUGGCCGGCGGGUAGCCGGCCUGGGAGGGUGGCCGGCCACACUGGGACUGAGAACCGGCCCGGACUCCUCCGGGAGGCAGCAGUGGGGAGUAUUGCACAAUGGGCGCAGCCCUGUUGCAGCAACGCCGCGUGAGGGACGACGGCCUUCGGGUGGUAAACCUCUUUUAGCAGGGAAGAAGCGAGAGUGACGGUACCUGCAGAAAAAGCACCGGCUAACUACGUG
rnacentral:rRNA from 1 species